rnacentral:tRNA from 1 species
AAGCUUUUAAAGGAUAAUAGCGUAUCCAUUGGUUUUAGGAACCAAAAACUCUUGGUGCAACUCCAAGUAAAAGCU